rnacentral:rRNA from 1 species
GAGGAAUAUUGCCCAAUGGAGGAAACUCUGAGGCAGCAACGCCGCGUGAACGAUGACGGCCUUCGGGUUGUAAAGUUCUUUUCUCAGGGAAGAUGAUGACGGUACCUGAGGAAUAAGUCCCGGCUAACUACGUGCCAGCAGCCGCGGUAAAACGUAGGGGACAAGCGUUAUCCGGAUUUACUGGGCGUAAAGCGCCCGUAGGCGGCUUGAUAAGUUGGACGUGAAAGCUCCCGGCUUAACUGGGAGAGGCCGUUCAAAACUAUCGAGCUAGAGUGAGGCAGAGGAGCGCGGAAUUCCCGGUGUAGUGGUGGAAUGCGUAGAUAUCGGGAGGAACACCAGUGGCGAAAGCGGCGCUCUGGGCCUAAACUGACGCUGAGGGGCGAAAGCGUGGGGAGCGAAC